GAUGAACGCUGGCGGCGUGCCUAAUACAUGCAAGUCGAGCGAACGGACGAGAAGCUUGCUUCUCUGAUGUUAGCGGCGGACGGGUGAGUAACACGUGGAUAACCUACCUAUAAUACUGGGAUAACUUCGGGAAACCGGAGCUAAUACCGGAGAAUAUUUUGAACCGCAUGGUUCAAGAGUUAAAGACGGUCUUGCUGUCACUUUUAGAUGGAUCCGCGCUGCAUUAGCUAGUUGGUAAGGUAACGGCUUACCAAGGCAACGAUGCAUAGCCGACCUGAGAGGGUGAUCAGCCACACUGGAACUGAGACACGGUCCAGACUCCUACGGGAGGCAGCAGUAGGGAAUAUUGCACAAUGGGCGAAAGCCUGACGGAGCAACGCCGCGUGAGUGAUGAAGGUCUUCGGAUCGUAAAACUCUGUUAUUAGGGAAGAACAUAUGUGUAAGUAAAUGUGCACAUUUUGACGGUACCUAAUCAGAAAGCCACGGCUAACUACGUG
rnacentral:rRNA from 1 species